UACGGAGGGUGCGAGCGUUGUCCGGAAUCACUGGGCGUAAAGGGCGCGUAGGCGGCCUGAUAAGUAGGGGGUGAAAUCCUGCGGCUUAACCGCAGGGCUGCCUUCUAAACUGUCAGGCUCGAGCACAGUAGAGGCAGGUGGAAUUCCCGGUGUAGCGGUGAAAUGUGUAGAGAUCGGGAGGAACACCGGUGGCGAAGGCGGGUCUCUGGGCAAUUCCUGACGCUGAGGCGCGAAAGCGUGGGGAGCAAACGGG
rnacentral:rRNA from 1 species